rnacentral:lncRNA from 1 species
CAUAUCAAUAAUUAGCUUAAAUAUAGUGUAAAUAUACCAAUUAAAACUGAGAUAGAAUGGAUUAAAAAAAUAUAACCCAACUAAUUAUGCUCUCUACAAGAAUUCAUUUCAAAUAUAACAGUAUAUGCAAGUUGAAAAUAAAAGGAUGGAAAAAGAUGUAUCAUGCCCACAUUAGUUUUAUAAAAAGCAUUGGUGGCUAUGUCAACAUUAGAUACAGUAGACUUCAGAGAAAAACAAAAAUUACUAACAGAAAAUAACAUUACAUAAGGAAAAAACAACUUCUCUGUUAAGAUAGAGGAAUCUUAAAUGUACAGGCAUCAAACAACAAAGCUUCAAAUUACAUGAAACAAAAACUGAGAGCUGAAAGAAAAAGUAGAAAAAUCCAUAAUUACUGUUAAGAACCUCACUCUCGGCAACUGAGAAAACUGCCAGGCAGAAAAUUAACAAAGAUAUUCAUUCAAAAGACUGGAACACCACCAUCAACUAAUAGGGAUCUAACUGGUAUUUAUAGAGCCCACUUUACAUGAUAAUAGCAGAAUAUAUGUUCUUUUUGAAUACUCGUAGAACACUCACCAAAAAGGAUAUCCUGGGAUAUAAAAACAAACCUUAAAAUUUCAAAAGGACUGAAAUCAUACAGAGUAUGUUCUCUGACCAUAAUGGAAUCAAACUAAAAAAUCAAUAGUAGAAAGACAGCAGAAAAACCUCUAAACACUUGGAAAUUAAAUAAAGGCUAGGAGUAGGAAGGAAAAAAUCACUACGUAUAAUGGGCUUUAAUGUGACGUUAUGCUUUAAUCAAAAUACUGUUAUUCUCUCUUUUGCCUGAGGUAGUUAAUGAGGUUAUCAUAACUAUUCAUUUUUUAAAUAAAUUUUUGUUUUCAAUAAAUACUUGGACCUAGUUUAAAAAGACCAAUAGUAUUACAAGAUGUAAAACAAAACACAGUUGUUCCCUGUCCUACCCAUUCCCAACUUCACUUUCUACCACAUACCUCUCCAAAGGUAACCACUUUCAACUCUUUUAGCAGUUGCUUCUAGUAUUUCUAAAUAAUAUGUUUAUAUUGAUUUCUUGAUUUUUCUAAUUUAGAAAUCAUCCAUGACUUCCUGCAAUGGAAGAUGAGGACACAGCUAAGUAUGAACAUUCAUCUUUUGAGGGCCACACAGGCACAAAUGUUACAGCUACAAGAGGAAAGAAGGUCACAACUGAGGAAAAGGGGCUGAGGGAACUCAAAAAAUACUGCAACUGGCAACAGAGACCACCAUCAAGGGAUAAAAUUACUUCAGCACCUACACACAAAACGCAGAGCAGCUGGAGAAAGGGGCAUGGGAAAAAAAGGCUGCUCAAGAGCAAACCUGAAGACCCUGUUUAUUAGCCAUUUCUCUCCCUGCAAGUGACUGGCAAUCCAUUUUGACUGAACUUGGGAUUCUGAGAUGCUCCGAAUGCCCUCUCUGGUGUUUUUACAGUUGAGGGGAGAAGAGGGUCUGUUCUCCAGGUAAUCUAACACCUCAAGGCUCUGGGUAAGUCUGCAAAAAGUUUUCAAAGGCAAAUUUGGAAGUGAGAAGGGUUACACGUGAUUUUCUGGAAUAAAACAAGAUUUUAUGCUGGUCAUGGGAAAUGCCUUACUGUUGCUUGUGGGGUUUUGGUGUAGCAGAUCAUGAUGAAAUGCAAAAGAAGGCAAUGAAAGAAGGAAGAAUGUAGACAUUUACAGCUCCCAUUUAUGGAGAUUUAUAUGAGGCAGUCCCUUUUUCUGUAUUAACUUAUUUAAACCUCAUAAAAAGUCACAAUUUUAUAGGUGAACAAACUGAAGCUUAGAGAUGAAAGGUAAGGUAACUUAUCCAAGAUCAAACUACUAAGUGGCAAAGCCGGGAUCCAAACUGAAGUCUUUCUUUUCCAAAGCACAUUUCCUAGCCACUGAGAAUACUGCUGCCUAAUGCUAUUCCAUAUGAAUUCAUUAUAUGACUCGCAGACAUGCUCUGUAUGGAGGUGGGUAAACUAUGGCCAAUGCUAAAUCCGGCUUAUUUUUUAUGGACCAAGAGCUAAGAAUGAAUUUUCCAAUUUUAAAUUAAAAACAAAAACCAAGAGGAAUAUUUUGUGCGAGAAAAAUUACAUAAAAUUCAAAUUUCAGAGCCCAAAAAUAAAGCUUUGUAGAAACAUAACCAUGCCAUUCAUUUACAUUUUGCCUAUGGCUGCUUUCAUACUACAGGGGCAAAGUUGAGUAGCAUGAUUGGCAAAGCCUGAAAUGUUUACUAUCUGCCCCUAGGGCCAGGGAGUUGGGAAGUGUGGGAAGAGUUCAGUGACUGGGAUCAUCUAAAAUUUAUCAGGCCAGAUACAGUGGCUCAUGCCUGCAAUCCCAACACUUUGGGAAACUGAGGUGGGAGGAUCACUUGAAGCCAGGAGCUCAAG